rfam:Canis lupus familiaris chromosome 21, whole genome shotgun sequence.
GCCUGGGUGGCUCAGCAGUUGAGCGUCUGACUUUGGCUCAGGUUGUGAUCCUGGAGUCCUGGGAUUGAGUCCCACAUCGGGCU